ACAUUAUUCACUGUCAGGUCGUCAAUAUUGGAAACCUUGCGAGUAUCCCAUUCAGAUCCGUUAUCCAGCGCAAUAUUAAAGAUACCGCUCUGAUAAACCUCUGCGCCAGCAAGGUGCUGAUCAUCAGAAUAGUAAGUUGAAGACGGCCAAAUGCUGUUUGGUACUAAAGCAUGCCAAUCAGCAUCGGUAUAUCCCCAACCGUACAUCUGAGCAGUGCCGAUUGCCUCAACAUCAGAUUGAGCCGCGCCAACCCAUUUCGAGCCAUUGGUCAGCGUCACGGUUAAAGAAUCAGUAUCAUCCCAACCAUUCGUUGUUGGAUUAUAG
rnacentral:misc_RNA from 1 species